UACGGGGGGAGCAAGCGUUGUUCGGAUUACUGGGCGUAAAGGGCGCGUAGGCGGUCGUCGACAAGUCACUUGUGAAAUCUCCGGGCUUAACUCGGAACGGUCAAGUGAUACUGUCGGACUAGAGUACAGAAGGGGCAACUGGAAUUCUCGGUGUAGCGGUGAAAUGCGUAGAUAUCAAGAGGAACACCUGAGGUGAAGACGGGUUGCUGGGCUGACACUGACGCUGAGGCGCGAAAGCCAGGGAGCAAACGGG
rnacentral:rRNA from 1 species